GAGAGAGGCUCGUCAGCAACGAAAACUGCUAAUUUUCGCUACCCUAGUUAGACCCCAGGGCUCACUCG
rnacentral:tRNA from 1 species